UACGGAGGGGUGCAAGCGUUAUCCGGAUUCACUGGGUUUAAAGGGUGCGUAGGUGGGCAGUUAAGUCAGUGGUGGAAAUCUCCGGGCUCAACCCGGAAACUGCCAUUGAUACUAUCUGUCUUGAAUAUCGUGGAGGUAAGCGGAAUAGUGUCAUGUAGCGGUGAAAUGCUUAGAUAUGAACAUAGAACACCAAUUGCGAAGGCAGCUUACUACCCGAAUAUUGACACUGAGGCACGAAAGCGUGGGGAUCAAACAGG
rnacentral:rRNA from 1 species